rnacentral:rRNA from 1 species
UACGUAGGCAGCAAGCGUUGUUCGGAGUUACUGGGCGUAAAGCGCACGUAGGCGGCAUUGCAAGUCGGAUGUGAAAUCCCUCGGCUUAACCAAGGAAGUGCAUCCGAAACUGCAGUGCUUGAGUACUUAAGAGGAUCGCGGAAUUCCCGGUGUAGAGGUGAAAUUCGUAGAUAUCGGGAGGAACACCAGUGGCGAAGGCGGCGAUCUGGGAAGAUACUGACGCUGAGGUGCGAAAGCGUGGGGAGCAAACAGG